rnacentral:rRNA from 1 species
AUUGAACGCUGGCGGCAUGCCUAACACAUGCAAGUCGAGCGGAGCGGCGGACGGGUGAGUAAUGCCUAGGAAUCUGCCUGGUAGUGGGGGAUAACGUCCGGAAAUGGGAGCUAAUACCGCAUACUAUUAGAUGAGCCUAGGUCGGAUUAGCUAGUUGGUGGGGUAAAGGCCUACCAAGGCGACGAUCCGUAACUGGUCUGAGAGGACGAUCAGUCACACUGGAACUGAGACACGGCCCAGACUCCUACGGGAGGCAGCAGUGGGGAAUAUUGGACAAUGGGCGAAAGCCUGAUGCAGCCAUGCCGCGUGUGUGAAGAAGGCCUUCGGGUUGUAAAGCACUUUCAGCGGGGAGGCGUUACCCGCAGAAGAAGCACCGGCUAACUCCGUGCCAGCAGCCGCGGUAAUUC